UACGGAGGAUCCAAGCGUUAUCCGGAUUCAUUGGGUUUAAAGGGUGCGUAGGCGGAAUUGUAAGUCAGUGGUGAAAGCCCUUCGCUUAACGAAGGAACUGCCAUUGAUACUGCAAAUCUUGAGUACAUUUGAUGUGGGCGGAAUGUGUCAUGUAGCGGUGAAAUGCUUAGAUAUGACACAGAACACCGAUUGCGAAGGCAGCUCACAAAACUGUAACUGACGCUGAGGCACGAAAGCGUGGGUAUCAAACAGG
rnacentral:rRNA from 1 species